CGCCAGCAGUAUUGCGCCGUAGUUGUAAUUGCGCAGUACCACCACUAAAACUCACUUGGUUACCGCCAACCCACACGCCCUCGGCUG
rnacentral:tRNA from 1 species